CGUAGGGUGCGAGCGUUAAUCGGAAUUACUGGGCGUAAAGCGUGCGCAGGCGGUUUUGUAAGACAGGCGUGAAAUCCCCGGGCUCAACCUGGGAGCUGCGCUUGUGACUGCAAGGCUAGAGUACGGCAGAGGGGGGUGGAAUUCCACGUGUAGCAGUGAAAUGCGUAGAGAUGUGGAGGAACACCAAUGGCGAAGGCAGCCCCCUGGGUCGAUACUGACGCUCAUGCACGAAAGCGUGGGUAGCAAACAGGAUUAGAUACCCUGGUAGUCCACGCCCUAAACGAUGUCAACUAGGUGUUGGGUGGGUAAAACCAUUUAGUACCGGAGCUAACGCGUGAAGUUGACCGCCUGGGGAGUACGGCCGCAAGGUUA
rnacentral:rRNA from 1 species